AAAUUGGCUUCUUUAGAAGCCACCAGUUCUUUCAAUGACUGAACCU
rfam:Rattus norvegicus chromosome 3, whole genome shotgun sequence.